ACGUACACUCCUACGGGAGGCAGCAGUGGGGAAUAUUGGACAAUGGGCGCAAGCCUGCUCCAGCCAUGCCGCGUGAGUGAUGAAGGCCCUAGGGUUGUAAAGCUCUUUCACCGGUGAAGAUAAUGACGGUAACCGGAGAAGAAGCCCCGGCUAACUUCGUGCCAGCAGCCGCGGUAAUACGAAGGGGGCUAGCGUUGUUCGGAUUUACUGGGCGUAAAGCGCACGUAGGCGGACUAUUAAGUCAGGGGUGAAAUCCCGGGGCUCAACCCCGGAACUGCCUUUGAUACUGGUAGUCUUGAGUUCGAGAGAGGUGAGUGGAAUUCCGAGUGUAGAGGUGAAAUUCGUAGAUAUUCGGAGGAACACCAGUGGCGAAGGCGGCUCACUGGCUCGAUACUGACGCUGAGGUGCGAAAGCGUGGGGAGCAAACAGGAUUAGAUACCCCAGUAGUCCCAU
rnacentral:rRNA from 1 species